rnacentral:lncRNA from 1 species
GAGACGAGUCUCGCUCUGUCGCCGGGCUGGAGUGCAGUGGCGUGAUCUUGGCUCACUGCAACCUCCGCCUCCUGGGUUCAAGCGAUUGUCCUGCCUCAGCCUCCUGAGUAGCUGGCACUACAGGCGCAUGCCACCACACCCAGUUAAUUUUUUUAGUAGAGAUGAGAUUUCACCAUGUUGGCCAGGAUGGUCUCAAUCUCUUGACCUUGUCAUCUGCCUGUCUUGGCCUUCCAAAGUUCCGGGAUUACAGGCGUGAGCCACCGCGCCCAGCCCAAAUUUGGUUUUUCUAACUGAGUUCACCUGCCCUCAAUUUUGUUAUACAAGGAAGCAGUAUGGCUUAGUGUUUAAAAAAUGUCGGCUCUGUGGUUAUUUUCAAAUAUUUGCUCCUUUGCUUAUAAUGAUAAUGAGGCAUAAUGAUAUGCCUCAGUUUCUUCAUGUAAAAAAAUCACAUUAGCAAUUAUACCCACAUGAUAGGCUUAUAAGAAUUAACUGAGAAAAUAAAUUUAAAAGUCAUAAGCACAAUGCUUAGGAAAUGUAAGUCCUGGAUGAGUGUUGGCCAUUGUUAACUUUGUUUUAUUUUACACAUCUUUCUUCUCUAUCUUUUGCAAAUUGCUUUUCAUUCUUCACACAUGAUUCCUGGCUAGAUACAGUGGCUCAAACCUGUAAUCCCAGCACUUUGGGAGGCUGAGACUGGAGGAUCGCAUGAGCCCAGGAGUUCAAGACCAGUCUGGGCAACAAAUUUUUCCAGAGAUCUACUUGAUAGAGGGAAAGGAGAAAGGAAGAUGUCAUUGAACCAAGAGAAAAUUGUCUUUCUCCAUACCUUGGAAUAUUAUUUGGCAAUAAUGAAGGAAUAUUAUUUGGCAAUAAUGAAGGAAUGAAGGACUGAUAUAUGAUACAGCACAGAUGGACUUUGGAAGCAUACUAAGAGAAAGAAGCUAGUCUCGAAGAACACAUUGUAUGAUUCCAUUCCUAUGAAAUGUCCAGAAUAGCAAAGCUAUAAAGAUACAAAGUAGAUUAGUAGUCACCUUUGGCCAGUGAGGUUGGGGAGAAAUGGAGAGCGAUUGCUAAUGAUUACAAACUUUCCUUUUAGCGUAAUAGAAAUGUUCUAAAAGUGAUGAUUGUACAAUGUUGUAAAUAUAUUAAAAACCAUUGGCUUGUGUACUUCAAGUAGGUGUAUUGUAUUGCCAUAUCUCAAUAAAUUAUAUCUCAAUAAAGCCAUUUUAUUUAUAUAAA